ACAAAGACAGGAAAACUUCUACGGAGGACAAAAUGGUUGAUUGUGAGACAGCCACCCACGUGCAUAAUGGCACUGGCCUCUGCAUUUGUCACUUCUGCAUGCAGAAGUUCAGCUCCCAAGAAGCGGCACAGCACUGACAGUUGGAUGGACAAAUGACUACAGAGAGCAUAGAGCUCAGGCAGGUGGCAAUGACUGGUACUCAGAGGCUGCCAGUAGGCCUGGGCCCUCCUCCUGAACUGGUGUUCUUGUUUCAGGCUGCUGUGAAGCUGAAGUGACUGUGCAGUGCUCCUUGAAGACUGUCAUUUCCCUGCCUGAAAUGUGUACCAAAUGAGUCAUUCAUUUAACAUUUCCCCUCUUGCAGAUUUUGCUUUCGUAUUGACGCCAAUCUCAGAAGUGUGAUCAGAUCCUGUCCUGGCUUCUGUUCUGUUGAAUCACGUUGUAAUUUCUGUGUCAUUCUUUGUGACCUUUGUUCUGUAACUUCUCUGCUUUAUAUUCUUUUAGUUGCUAUCUUUUAAUUUUCAUCAUUUUUACCAACUGCUGUCUUAAUGAUACUUGUAAUUUAAAGUUUUUCAAAACAAUUGUGGUGUUGGGAGGGGAGGAACUGUUGCUUCCAUUUUUGCAAGUACCAUAACCUUGCCUUGGGAGAGACUCGUCUUUGUAUUUCCUCCUCCAUAAUGAUUUGGUUUUGAUGGUAUAAAUCACAAGGAAAUCACUCUGUGGUGCUUGUCAAAGUGAACUCAGACUUGGCUUUCUGCCAAGCUGCUGUGAGUUUUCCUAUCUGUGCUCUGCAAGCAGGUUCAGCGUUACCAGCUGUGUGUGCCUGCUGCUGCUGGCUGCUGGUAUGCCGUCCUUCAUCUCCUCCCAUGAGCUGGGAAGCAAGGAAGGUGCAAGCUUGGGCUUUCUGACUCAGUAAAAUCCGUUCAGGAUGUGAGCAGCUUCCCUUCUGCAGGAGUUUUAGAAGUACUCAGCAAAGCAUUUUUCCUUCUAUAAACUGCUUUAGCUCUUGCCAUGAACUAUGGAAUCAGCUCCAGGAAAGAUUUACUCCAAGGGCUGUUGUCAAGACAUCAGCUCAGGAUUACUCAUGCUAGUAAAAUACAGUGAAGCACACAGCAAGAAUUUAAAAGAUUGAAAAGAGGAAUGCUUUUAUUUUGACCAGCCUAGACUAGUUUUGUCUUGUUGCGUCAACGUCUAUUACAUGCCCUACUUGCUGCGGCAUGAUGUCCAUACAGAGGCCCAUAAUCCAUCAGUACUACUCAGAAUGGGUAAGCAGGUGUU
rnacentral:lncRNA from 1 species